GUCGUCGUAGCUCAGCCGGUACGAGCGCCGCCCUGAAAAGGCGGAGGCCGGUGGUUCGACCCCACCCGGCGACA
rnacentral:tRNA from 1 species